UACGGAGGGUGCAAGCGUUAUCCGGAUUCACUGGGUUUAAAGGGUGCGUAGGUGGGUUGGUAAGUCAGUGGUGAAAUCUCCGAGCUUAACUUGGAAACUGCCAUUGAUACUAUCAGUCUUGAAUAUUGUGGAGGUCAGCGGAAUAUGUCAUGUAGCGGUGAAAUGCUUAGAUAUGACAUAGAACACCAAUUGCGAAGGCAGCUUACUACGGAUGUAUUGACACUGAGGCACGAAAGCGUGGGGAUCAAACAGG
rnacentral:rRNA from 1 species